rnacentral:rRNA from 1 species
UACGUAGGGACCAAGCGUUGUUCGGAUUUACUGGGCGUAAAGGGCUCGUAGGUGGCCAACUAAGUCAGACGUGAAAUCCCUCAGCUUAACUGGGGAACUGCGUCUGAUACUGGAUGGCUUGAGUUUGGGAGAGGGAUGCGGAAUUCCAGGUGUAGCGGUGAAAUGCGUAGAUAUCUGGAGGAACACCGGUGGCGAAGGCGGCAUCCUGGACCAACACUGACACUGAUGAGCGAAAGCCAGGGGAGCAAACGGG